CGUCGUCGUCGUCCUGUGUCGUCUUGCGUCGUCGUCGUCCGAAUACUUUUAUUUUUCGCACUCUAACUUUAGUAAAAGUGAAUAGAAAUCUAUGAAAUUUUAACACAAGGUUUAUAACCACAAAAGGAAGGUUGGGAUUGAUUUUGGGAGUUUUGGUCCCAAAAUUUUAGGAAUUAAGGGCCAAAAAGGGCCCAAAUAAGCAUUUUCGUGGUUUUCGCACUAUAACUUUAGUUUAUAGAAAUCUAUGAAAUUUUGACACAAGGUUUAUGACCACAAAAGGAAGGUUGGGAUUGAUUUUGGGAGUUUUAGUUCAAACAGUUUAGGAAUUAGGGGCCAAAAAAGGGCCCAAAUAAGCAUCAUUCUUGGUUUUCGCACAAUAACUUUAGUAUAAGUAAAUAGAAAUCAAUGAAAUUUAAACACAAGGUUUAUGACCACAAAAAAAGGAAGGUUGGGAUUGAUUUUGGGAGUUGAGGU
rnacentral:lncRNA from 1 species